rnacentral:SRP_RNA from 2 species
GCCGAGCAUGGUGGCGCAUGCCUGUAAUCCCAGCUACUUGGGAGGCUGAGGCAGGAGAAUCGCUGGAACCCAGGAGGUGGAGGUUGCAGUGAGCCAAGAUCAUGCCACUGCACUCCAGCCUGGAUGACAGAGCGAGACUCUGUCUCAA